CCUCUGGUAGCUCAGUUGGUAGAGCGGUGGACUGUGUAUCCAUUGGUCGCUGGUUCAAAUCCGGCCAAGAGGA
rnacentral:tRNA from 1 species